rnacentral:rRNA from 1 species
AUUGAACGCUGGCGGCAUGCCUUACACAUGCAAGUCGAACGGCAGCGCGGGGCAACCUGGCGGCGAGUGGCGAACGGGUGAGUAAUAUAUCGGAACAUACCCUAGAGUGGGGGAUAACGUAGCGAAAGUUACGCUAAUACCGCAUACGCACUAAGGUGGAAAGUGGGGGAUUCGCAAGAACCUCAUGCUCAUGGAGUGGCCGAUAUCUGAUUAGCUAGUUGGUGAGGUAAAGGCUCACCAAGGCAACGAUCAGUAGCUGGUUUGAGAGAACGACCAGCCACACUGGAACUGAGACACGGUCCAGACUCCUACGGGAGGCAGCAGUGGGGAAUUUUGGGACAAUGGGGGCAACCCUGAUCCAGCAAUGCCGCGUGAGUGAAGAAGGCCU